rnacentral:rRNA from 1 species
CCUACGGGGGGCAGCAGUGGGGGAUAUUGCACAAUGGGGGAAACCCUGAUGCAGCGACGCCGCGUGUGGGAAGACGGUCCUCUGGAUUGUAAACCACUGUCCCCAGGGACGAAGAUGACGGUACCCGGGGAGGAAGCUCCGGCUAACUACGUGCCAGCAGCCGCGGUAAUACGUAGGGAGCAAGCGUUGUCCGGAUUUACUGGGUGUAAAGGGCGUGUAGCCGGGCCGGCAAGUCAGAUGUGAAAUCCCAAGGCUCAACCUUGGAACUGCAUUUGAAACUGUUGGUCUUGAGUAUCGGAGAGGCA